rnacentral:lncRNA from 1 species
AGAGAGGAAAUAAUUGAAAAAAAAAAACUUACCAGAAAUCAAACGUUUUGAAAAUGUAUAUAUCACAGUUUAUACCACAAUAUAACUUUGAAAAAUAUUCAUUGUCUUAAAUUUACCGAAACAUAACAAUCACAGUCCUUGCCACGCGUCGAGAGAUUGACUAUGACUAUCGCUCAGCAUCGAAGACCAUAGCAAUGCAAUAGUCUGAUGUGUUUUUGUUUAAAACAUAUGAACCGCAAGAUGGCAAAUGACACACAACCACUAAUAAAUGUCAGGUGUUGCUAUGCCCAGUUCUUAUGCAAGUUCGUAGGAGCUGCAACUCGUCGACAG